AGCUUGCUCCGGAUCUCUUAGUGGCGAACGGGUGAGUAACGCGUGGGAAUCUACCUUAAAGUGGGGAAUAACUAUUGGAAACGAUAGCUAAUACCGCAUAAUCCCUGAGGGGCAAAGGCUUCGGCCGCUUUUAGAUGAGCCCGCGUUAGAUUAGGCUGUUGGUGAGGUAAUGGCUCACCAAACCUGUAAUCUAUAGCUGGUCUGAGAGGACGAUCAGCCACACUGGGACUGAGACACGGCCCAGACUCCUACGGGAGGCAGCAGUGGGGAAUAUUGGACAAUGGGGGAAACUCUGAUCCACCAAUGCCGCGUGAGUGAUGAAGGCCCUAGGGUUGUAAAACUCUUUCAGAAGUGAAGAUGAUGACGGUAACUUCAGAAGAAGCUCCGGCCAACUCCGUGCCAGCAGCCGCGGUAAUACGGAGGGAGCUAGCGUUGUUCGGAAUUACUGGGCGUAAAGAGCGUGUAGGCUGUUAGGUAAGUCAGAGGUGAAAUCCCUAAGCUCAACUUAGGUACUGCCUUUGAUACUAUCCUUACUAGAGAUCGAGAGAAGU
rnacentral:rRNA from 1 species